ACUCCUCCUACUUCAUGGGUGAAGCAGAGGAAAUAGAAUGUACAAGACACAGAGUUAGGAAAGCACAAGAACUGCUUAAGAAACAUGGUGGUUCAAUGUGGACACAGCAUAAUAUAAUGUGACGGAAAAUCCAUUUGGAAAGGUGGGUUGAGCCAGAUGACAGAAUUUAUCAGACUAAGCCAGGCAUCCCCAGAAUGACUCAGAUUUCCUUGGGGUUAGGGACUAUGAUUAUUCAUCUUAGUGACUCCCUCUUCCCAGCAGGACAUUGCAUGAUGUCUGGCUCAUUAUGGGCAUUUACAGAUACAUAUAACAUAUAAAGGAAUGAAGUGUCAAUCUUACCAAGACAUUAUGUUUUUUAAAAACAUGGAUCUAAACCAUAAAGGAAAUAUGUUCAAGUGGAGUAGUUGGAGUAUCAUAAGAAGAUAGAGAAAAAUUUAGGAAGUUUUCAGUAUCUCACUAGAAUUCCUAAAAUUGGACGAGCUAAUAAUAACUAACAUUUUCUGUGCUUGUGCUGUGUGCUAGCCAAUGUCCUUGGUGUUUCAUUUAGCAUCACAC
rnacentral:lncRNA from 1 species